rnacentral:tRNA from 1 species
UGUGGCAGAAAAGUGCCAUGGGUUUAAGCUCCAUUCAUGAAGGUCUUCCCCCUUCCAUUAAAA